UCUGACAAGGUACCUUAAUUUAAGCCCUUAGAUUCAGUCGCUCAUAUUCUCUUAGCCCAUUGGUCAUGUAUGCUUGUCUCUGUUUCAUUCACUUCAACAAGCUGAACCCUGAAGUACCAUGUUUCUAAGGGAUGUCCUUCCUAACUACUGAUUACUAUACUGUAAGAGGCAACUCACACUUAAUUAGGAAAAUUUCAUUUAUUAGCCAUUGGAAAUAUAUACCACACGUGG
rnacentral:lncRNA from 1 species